rnacentral:rRNA from 1 species
CGUAGGGUGCAAGCGUUAAUCGGAAUUACUGGGCGUAAAGCGUGCGCAGGCGGUUUCGUAAGUCUGUCGUGAAAUCCCCGGGCUUAACCUGGGAAUGGCGAUGGAGACUGCGAGGCUAGAGUUUGGCAGAGGGGGGUAGAAUUCCACGUGUAGCAGUGAAAUGCGUAGAGAUGUGGAGGAACACCGAUGGCGAAGGCAGCCCCCUGGGUCAAAACUGACGCUCAUGCACGAAAGCGUGGGGAGCAAACAGGAUUAGAUACCCUGGUAGUCCACGCCCUAAACGAUGUCUACUAGUUGUUGGGUCUUAAUUGACUUAGUAACGCAGCUAACGCGUGAAGUAGACCGCCUGGGGAGUACGGUUGCAAGAUUA